rnacentral:rRNA from 1 species
CGCUGGCGGCGUGCCUAAUACAUGCAAGUCGAGCGCACUGCAGAGGAGCUUGCUCCUUUGACGUUAGCGCCGGACGGGUGAGUCACACGUGGGUAACCCACCUAUAAGACUGGCAUAACUCCGGGAAACCGGGGCUAAUGCCGGAUAAUACGUCGAACCGCAUGGUUCAACAGUGAAAGCCGGUUUUGCUUUCACUUAUAGAUCGACCCGCGCCGCAUUCGCUAGUUGGUUGGGUAUCGGCCCACCACGCCGACGCUCCGUAGCCGACCGGAGUGGGUGAGCGGCCACACUGGAACUGAGACACGGUCCAGACUCCUACGGGAGGCAGCAGUAGGGAAUCUUCCGCAAUGGACGAAAGGCCGACGGAGCAACGCCGCGUGAGUUAUGAAGGUCUUCGGAGCGUAACACGCGGUUUUUAGGGAAGAACACAUGGGGAAGUAACUGUGCACAUCUUAACGUGACCUAACCAGUAAACCUCGGCACACCACCUGCCUACCGCCGGCGGAAAUAACAGGUGG